CAAACACUUUUAAACAUUUAUAAAUCAUCAUCAAUGGUAUUUAAACUUACCGAGCAUUAUGCAUUCAUGUUUUGAGUCUUCGAGUCUUCGAUCUUCAUCUCUUCUUCUUCAAACAUUCAAGACUCCGACUAACAUCACGAAAUAUGCCAAUAUAAAAUUCGUAACAAUCUCCCCCUUUGGCAAUUUCAUGACAAAACUAAAAAAUACAUCAAAAUACUCACAACGCUCAACUCUCCAAACAAAAAAAAAUGAAAUUCAUUGCCAUCACCAAAACAAUGAACUUCUCGCGUGAAAAAUCCAAAGAAAAUACAAAAUUACAAUUUCGCAACUCCUAAACAAACUCUUGACUUAAACACAA
rnacentral:lncRNA from 1 species